rnacentral:rRNA from 1 species
CCGUGAGGGAAAGAUGAAAAGGACUUUGGAAAGAGAGUUAAAAAGUACGUGAAACCGUUAAAAGGGAAACGAAUGGAGCUAGCAAUGCACCCAGUGAGAUUCAGCUGGUUGGUGGUUCGGCCACGAUGUUUGCAGAUCUGAAUUGACUGCGGCUUUGUGGUCCGAACUCCCUGCCAUCGCACUUCUCGCGGGUGCGCGUCAACAUGGGUUGGGACCGGGUCUUAAAGGCAACGGCAAGGUAGGUCCGCACCUCCGGGUACGUACUGUUCUAGGCCGGCGCUCUCACGGCCCGGGCCCGACCGAGGCGAUGCAGCACAUGCCUCUUGUGGCUGGGGUCCCGUUCUUCCGGUUGGUUGUCGACUGUGGUGGACUGCGUGCAGUGCACCGCGACUGCUGCCGGUCGCUUGGGCGGUGACUUCGCAUCAUGUGCUUAGGAUGUUGGCGGUCAUAUGGCUUCAUCCGACCCGUCUUGAAACACGGACCAAGGAGUCUACCAUAUGCGCGAGUCUUUGGGUGAUUGAAACCCGCGGGCACAAUGAAAGUGAAGGCGGCUCCGGCCUGCCGAGGUGAGAACCUCCCCUCUCGGGGUGGCGCAUCAUCGACCGACCUAUUCUACUCUUAGGAAGGUUUGAGUAAGAGCGCAUUUGUUGGGACCCGAAAGAUGGUGAACUAUGCCUGAAUAGGGUGAAGCCAGAGG